rnacentral:tRNA from 1 species
GCCGGAGUGGCGGAACAGGCAGACGCACGGGACUCAAAAUCCCGCGAGGCUCGCCCUCAUGAGGGUUCGACCCCCUCCUCCGGCA